UUUAAAGAGAGUUUGAUCCUGGCUCAGGACGAACGCUGGCGGCGUGCCUAAUACAUGCAAGUCGAACGAACGGAGGAAGAGCUUGCUCUUCCAAAGUUAGUGGCGGACGGGUGAGUAACACGUGGGCAACCUGCCUGUAAGUUGGGGAUAACUCCGGGAAACCGGGGCUAAUACCGAAUGAUAGAGUGUGGCGCAUGCCACGCUUUUGAAAGAUGGUUUCGGCUAUCGCUUACAGAUGGGCCCGCGGUGCAUUAGCUAGUUGGUAGGGUAAUGGCCUACCAAGGCAACGAUGCAUAGCCGACCUGAGAGGG
rnacentral:rRNA from 1 species